rnacentral:misc_RNA from 1 species
AUAAGUUAUUAGUUGAUACCGCACUGGACAACAUUGCUCCCUCUGGUAAGCGUUGUCCAAUGACUAUUGUAUCUGUUGGAAAGUGGAAGCUUUCCCAAAGAGAACCAUUGAACUGGUCAAGUAAAACAAGAUUACCCAUCUCAGUUAGGUGUAAUGCAUGAACUGGAGAUCUCAAAGGUGGAGUUGACCAUUUGAGACUGCCAUCUUCAUCAGCAAUACUGAUUCCAUGGACCGUAAGAUCCAUUUUACCGGAACUCGAGAUAGGAGCAUCCCCAUUAGCAGACCAUAUGAU